rnacentral:rRNA from 1 species
AUGACGUCAAGUCCUCAUGGCCUUACAGGUGGGCUACACACGUGCUACAAUGGCGGACUACAGAGGGUUAAUCCUUAAAAGUCGUCUCAGUUCGGAUUGUCCUCUGCAACUCGAGGGCAUGAAGUUGGAAUCGCUAGUAAUCGCGGAUCAGCAUGCCGCGGUGAAUACGUUCCCGGGCCUU